GGGAAUAUAGCUCAGUUCGGUAGAGCAUACACCUUGGAAGUGUAAGGACAUGAGUUCGAAUCUCAUUAUUCCCU
rnacentral:tRNA from 1 species